UAUAAGACGAGAAGACCCCAUGGAGCUUCAAACCAGCUUCAACCCCACCCCCCCCACACCCUUUCAACCCCGGGGCCCUGUGUAUCUGGUUUUCGGUUGGGGCGACCACGGAGCAUAAAAAAACCUCCAUGAUGAACGAGCCUACCCUCUUACCUGAGAAUUACACCUCAAAGAACUAGUAUACUAACAUAAAAUGAUCCAAUAAUUGAUCAACGAACCAAGUUACCCUGGGGAUAACAGCGCAAUCCAUUUCAAGAGCUCC
rnacentral:rRNA from 1 species